UACGUAGGGGGCAAGCGUUGUCCGGAUUUAUUGGGCGUAAAGAGCGUGUAGGCGGCUAGAUAGGUCCGUUGUGAAAACUCGAGGCUCAACCUCGAGACGUCGAUGGAAACCAUCUAGCUAGAGUCCGGAAGAGGAGAGUGGAAUUCCUGGUGUAGCGGUGAAAUGCGCAGAUAUCAGGAAGAACACCCGUGGCGAAGGCGGCUCUCUGGGCCGUAACUGACGCUGAGGAGCGAAAGCAUGGGGAGCGAACAGG
rnacentral:rRNA from 1 species